CAUAUUGGCAAUUUGUCAGCUCUGCUUGAAGUAUUUUAAAUUAAAUGACAUUAACAAAUGAGUAAUCAUCAGAAUAAAUCACAUAAUAAUUGCAUUACUAACAAAUCAAAACGUAGGCAACCCAAAGGUUGCUGACGUGCACCAGCCAAUAGGUACAACUAGCGUCAUGGUCACACGAAUGUCUGAAUCUCAGUGGCCCAGCCCCCAAUCCAGCCUGUGAAGAAUUACAGUCUCUUACAAAGUUUUCCUCCAGGACUUUACAGGAGUCUCCAAGGGUCUUGACACGUGAACGUGAAUCAUCUCAGGCCUCCCGCGCUGCUGUCCAUGCAAACCGAGCUGUCGAUGUGCCCUGCCCCAGCCCUGAGAUCUGAGAUUCCUGCCUACUUCACAUCAUCUCAGUGACUAAAAGGCCCACCACUGUCCCUGCACGGACUCUGCUGAGCUGGAUGGAGACCCUCUCUCUGGCACCAGAUUGCUGAAGCUCACAACGGGUCCAAAUUGCCUUCCUGAAAACUGGCUUCAGUCAGAACCCCAAACCAUCAGCUGUGACACUGAGGGCUUAACCCCCAUUUGUGGACAUGGUUUAAGUCUCCUUCCUCAGGACUUCUCCGGUUCCCAGAUGUGGAUGAUCCUUGAUGAGAUGCUAAGUGAAAUAAGCCAAACACACAAGGACAAAUAUUGGAUGAUUCCGCUUAUAUGAAGGACCUGGAGUAGUCAGAUUCCUAAGGACAGAAAACAGAACGGCAGUUGCCAGGAGUGGGAAGAAGGGGAAUGGAGAACUACUGCUUCCUGAGUACAGAGUUGCAGCUUGGAAGGAUGAAAAAAGUUCUGGAGGUGGAUGGUGGUGAUGGUGGUUGCACAACUUAAUGUCACUAAACUAUACUGCUAAAAAUGGCUAAAAUUGUCAAUUUAAUGUUAUGUCUAUUUUUAUCACAAUAAAAAAUAAAAGAACUUAUGGAAUACUUUUUUUAAGAUUUUAUUCAUUUACUUGUCAGAGAGAGUGAGCACAAGCAGGGGGAGUGGCAGGCAGAGGGAGAGGGAGAAGCAGGCUUCCCGCAGAGCAGGGAGCCCGAUGCGGGGCUCGAUUCCAGCACCCAGGGAUCAUGACCUGAGCCGAAGGCAGACGCUUAACCGACUGAGCCACCCAGGCGUCCCUUUACGGAGCUCUCUAAAAACAAAAACAAAAACAAAAACCAGGCAGCUGCAAAGGUGUUGUGAAUGGAAUCAAGGAGGUGGUCCAGCUUUGGGUCUGGAGUGAAACGAUUUGCCAGGGAUACUGAAGAAGCGCUACAACACUGACGAGGCUAAGUUGAGCGUGAAGAAGGCUGAAGAGAAGAAACACUGAUUUUUUUUUUUUUUUUUUGGCAUGGUGUGUAGUAAUGAUUAUCCCUCUCAGAAAUGUAGCAUUUUAGCUUUCAAAGCAUUUCCACAAGUGAUCUAACUUGUUGUCAUGACAAGAGUGGGAAGUGAAGGGCUGGGUUUCAGACUCCAGAGCUACAAAGGGGGAAGUCACCCUGCCCCAUGGAUGCUCUCAGCUUCCUCAGGGAACUGACCCCCCAUUUGCCAACGGGUAAACUGAAGCUCAGAGAGAUGAACGGACUUGCCCCGAAUCUGCUACUACUGAGCAGAGUGGAGACCUGACCCUAAGCCCCUCGACUUACUACUUCGUGUUCUUCCGCGGGCAUGAAUUACAACAGAAUGAAACUGAAAAAGUAAAAAAAAAAAAAAAAAAAUUCCUAGCCGUGUCAAAGCAUGAAAGAAUCCCUAGUCUACAUUAAAACUCAAGAGAAAACAGAAUAUAAUUUGGGGAUAUAUUUUAAGCUUUAUAAAAUCCUCCCACCCCCGCCUCUGAGUAGGAAAGUGGGUAAAAACAGAAUCUGGGGUGAGAAGUCAUCUGUUUCAUCCAUGAUGUGGAGGAGAAGAAUCUGUAAGCCAA